UGGGGAAUAUUGCGCAAUGGAGGAAACUCUGACGCAGUGACGCCGCGUAUAGGAAGAAGUUUUUCGGAAUGUAAACUAUUGUCGUUAGGGAAGAGAAAGGACAGUACCUAAGGAGGAAGCUCCGGCUAACUACGUGCCAGCAGCCGCGGUAAUACGUAGGGAGCGAGCGUUAUCCGGAAUUAUUGGGUGUAAAGGGUGCGUAGACGGGAGAACAAGUUAGUUGUGAAAUCCCUCGGCUUAACUGAGGAACUGCAACUAAAACUAUUUUUCUUGAGUGCAGGAGAGGUAAGUGGAAUUCCUAGUGUAGCGGUGAAAUGCGUAGAUAUUAGGAGGAACACCAGUGGCGAAGGCGACUUACUGGACUGUAACUGACGUUGAGGCACGAAAGUGUGGGGAGCAAACAGGAUUAGAUACCC
rnacentral:rRNA from 1 species